AUUAAUUUUCACGUUGUCCAUAUGUAAACACAAUAAUCCAAGGUUUAAACGAACUUAAAACAGUGAAAAAUGCCUCAUUUUUGUUGUGUUAUUAAGUGUUUAAUGCGUGAUAAUGUCUAAUUUUUUCCAAAUCAUGCUGCUUUGACCAACAGAGGAAAUAAUUUAAAAGCAUUAUCUAAUGUUCGAAGAGAAGUGUGGUUCAAAGCUUUGAAAUGAAAGGCCCCUGUAUGAAAGUGAGAGUAAAAAGAAACGAAUUUGUUCCAAAGACUUUAUAACUGACGAAUUAUGUUAAUAGAUAAGUCUAAUUCAGCCAAAAUUUGGGAUAUUCUUCCUGUCUUUAACCCUACAAGUCAUCUUCUAGAUUUGGCAGAUUAAGAAAAAGAUUUAAAAAUGAAUCAGAGUUAAAGAUGUUACUAUAAAAGAUGAAAAUCGACCAGUGAAUUUUCAUAAUCCUCCAAUCGUUAAUCAACUUUAUUCAUUUUAAAUCGUCGAGAUAGAAGACGAUAAACCCAAAUACACGACAAGGAUUGCACUUCUGGAAGAUCAGCUGAAUAAGAACGAUAACAGGGCUGUGUUCAGAUCAAAUAUAUACCAAGAAUAUUUUUCGUCUCGGCUGUUAUAAGUCUCGGCUGAGUAUGCCUAUAAUACAAGAACUGUGGAUUUUGAAAUCCUAAGAUAUCAGUUGAGCCUCUAUGAGAAGGGUCCUUGGUACAUGAGUAUAAAGUUGUUUAAUAGGUUGCCACUUGAAGUCAAGUUAAUAGAAGUAAAGAGUAGUUGCACAAUCGAAAAAUUUGUUAAUUUGAUAGAUAAGAGAUUUGAAUCUGAGAGAUAUGGCUCAUCUCUCAGAUUUCCUGUAGACAAGUCAAUAAAUAUUGUGUGACGUCAUUUCAUUUUCUGUAUAUAUUAUUUUGUAUUUUUACAU
rnacentral:lncRNA from 1 species